rnacentral:rRNA from 1 species
AACAUGACUCUCGGCAACGGAUAUCUCGGCUCUCGCAUCGAUGAAGAACGUAGCAAAAUGCGAUACCUGGUGUGAAUUGCAGAAUCCCGUGAACCAUCGAGUUUUUGAACGCAAGUUGCGCCCGAGGCCUUUUGGYCGAGGGCACGUCUGCCUGGGCGUCACGC